rnacentral:lncRNA from 1 species
GUGAUAUUUGUAAAACUUUCCCUGUCAGCAUUUGACCUGCCUUCACAUGUUGGAAAAUCAGCAAUCAGCCAUGUGCACUUACUGGGCCUUGGCAUCUCUGCAGGAGGUGGCAGAGAUGAAGAUGGAGCUAGAGAUGACAGUGGAGAUGGAGAUGGAGAUGGGUGAUACCAAGCUCCCACCUUCAAGAGCAGCUCACAGGCUAAUACAGGAAACAAAGAUAAACAUGUAAAAACACAACUCCUCGUGAUCAGGGAGAGAAUAGGGGCUGAGGUUCAAAAUCAUAGAAAUAGGCUUUAAAUAGUCUACCAAAGGGGAUUAUUAGUAUCUGCAGUGGGCUGGCUCAACCCAAUGAAAUCUGCGUUGAAAAUCUUCUUUGUCAUCUGCCAUAGGGAAUGUGUCUUUUGCUGGCUAUAUUAUUGUCUUAUGACUCAGAGCUAAAAUAUAUACACCCAGUGAAAAUAGCAAGUGGAUGAUGUUAACCUUGUUAGUGUAAGGUAUUUUAUGAUGAAGAAAAAGGUGCCAGGCCAUCUGCAAAUGACUGAUUUAUGGCUGUAAUAGAAACUGCUACCUAUGGAAGAAGCAGCACUGAAUAAAAAUGAAGCAAAGGAAUUUGGAAGCUGUUGC